rnacentral:rRNA from 1 species
CCUACGGGAGGCAGCAGUGGGGAAUAUUGGACAAUGGGCGAAAGCCUGAUCCAGCCAUGCCGCGUGUGUGAAGAAGGCCUUCGGGUUGUAAAGCACUUUCAGUGGGGAAGAAAGCCUUGGGGCUAAUACCCUCGAGGAAGGACAUCACCCACAGAAGAAGCACCGGCUAACUCCGUGCCAGCAGCCGCGGUAAUACGGAGGGUGCGAGCGGUAAUCGGAAUUACUGGGCGUAAAGCGCGCGUAGGCGGUCUGAUAAGCCGGUUGUGAAAGCCCCGGGCUCAACCUGGGAACGGCAUCCGGAACUGUCAGGCUAGAGUGCAGGAGAGGAAGGUAGAAUUCCCGGUGUAGCGGUGAAAUGCGUAGAGAUCGGGAGGAAUACCAGUGGCGAAGGCGGCCUUCUGGACUGACACUGACGCUGAGGUGCGAAAGCGUGGGUAGCAAACAGGAUUAGAUACCCCUGUAGUC